rnacentral:rRNA from 1 species
UACAGAGGGUGCGAGCGUUAAUCGGAAUUACUGGGCGUAAAGGGUGCGCAGGCGGCCGGGUGUGUCAGAUGUGAAAUCCCGAGGCUCAACCUCGGAACUGCGUCUGAAACUACUCGGCUAGAGUACUGGAGAGGGUAACGGAAUUCACGGUGUAGCAGUGAAAUGCGUAGAUAUCGAUGAGGAACACCAGAGGCGAAGGCGGUUACCUGGACAGUUACUGACGCUCAGGCACGAAAGCAUGGGGAGCAAAAGGG